AGGGGGCAAGCGUUAUCCGGAUUUACUGGGUGUAAAGGGAGCGUAGACGGCAGCGCAAGUCUGGAGUGAAAUCCCAUGGCUUAACCAUGGAACUGCUUUGGAAACUGUGCAGCUGGAGUGCAGGAGAGGUAAGCGGAAUUCCUAGUGUAGCGGUGAAAUGCGUAGAUAUUAGGAGGAACACCAGUGGCGAAGGCGGCUUACUGGACUGUAACUGACGUUGAGGCUCGAAAGCGUGGGGAGCGA
rnacentral:rRNA from 1 species